rnacentral:ncRNA from 1 species
UUCUUAUCCAGAGAAGUGGAGGGACUGGCCCUUUGAAGCUUCGGCAGCGGAACAGAUUGGAUGCCCAAUUUGAAACUGUGCCAAAUCCAGCAGGUGCUGCUAAGCAUUUGAGAGAUGAGAA